GAUGAACGCUAGCGACAGGCUUAACACAUGCAAGUCGAGGGGCAGCACAGGUAGCAAUACCGGGUGGCGACCGGCGCACGGGUGAGUAACGCGUAUGCAACUUGCCUAUCAGAGGGGGAUAACCCGGCGAAAGUCGGACUAAUACCGCAUGAAGCAGGGGCCCCGCAUGGGGAUAUUUGCUAAAGAUUCAUCGCUGAUAGAUAGGCAUGCGUUCCAUUAGGCAGUUGGCGGGGUAACGGCCCACCAAACCGACGAUGGAUAGGGGUUCUGAGAGGAAGGUCCCCCACAUUGGUACUGAGACACGGACCAAACUCCUACGGGAGGCAGCAGUGAGGAAUAUUGGUCAAUGGGCGUAAGCCUGAACCAGCCAAGUCGCGUGAGGGAUGAAGGUUCUAUGGAUCGUAAACCUCUUUUAUAAGGGAAUAAAGUGCGGGACGUGUCCCGUUUUGUAUGUACCUUAUGAAUAAGGAUCGGCUAACUCCGUGCCAGCAGCCGCGGUAAUACGGAGGAUCCGAGCGUUAUCCGGAUUUAUUGGGUUUAAAGGGUGCGUAGGCGGCCUUUUAAGUCAGCGGUGAAAGUCUGUGGCUCAACCAUAGAAUUGCCGUUGAAACUGGGAGGCUUGAGUAUGUUUGAGGCAGGCGGAAUGCGUGGUGUAGCGGUGAAAUGCUUAGAUAUCACGCAGAACCCCGAUUGCGAAGGCAGCCUGCCAAGCCAUUACUGACGCUGAUGCACGAAAGCGUGGGGAUCAAACAGGAUUAGAUACCCUGGUAGUCCACGCAGUAAACGAUGAUCACUAGCUGUUUGCGAUACACUGUAAGCGGCACAGCGAAAGCGUUAAGUGAUCCACCUGGGGAGUACGCCGGCAACGGUGAAAAUCAAAGGAAUUGACGGGGGCCCGCACAAGCGGAGGAACAUGUGGUUUAAUUGGAUGAUACGCGAGGAACCUUACCCGGGUUUGAACGCAUUUUGACAGCUCUGGAAACAGAGCCUCUAGCAAUAGCGAUUUGCGAGGUGCUGCAUGGUUGUCGUCAGCUCGUGCCGUGAGGUGUCGGCUUAAGUGCCAUAACGAGCGCAACCCUUGCCACUAGUUACUAACAGGUAAAGCUGAGGACUCUGGUGGGACUGCCAGCGUAAGCUGCGAGGAAGGCGGGGAUGACGUCAAAUCAGCACGGCCCUUACAUCCGGGGCGACACACGUGUUACAAUGGCGUGGACAAAGGGAGGCCACCUGGCGACAGGGAGCGAAUCCCCAAGCCACGUCUCAGUUCGGAUCGGAGUCUGCAACCCGACUCCGUGAAGCUGGAUUCGCUAGUAAUCGCGCAUCAGCCAGGGCGCGGUGAAUACGUUCCCGGGCCU
rnacentral:rRNA from 1 species